UAAUCCGACCUAGGCUCAUCCAUUAGCGCGAGGUCUUGCGAUCCCCCGCUUUCCUCCGUAGAGCGUAUGCGGUAUUAGCCCGGCUUUCGCCGGGUUAUCCCCCACAAAUGGGCAGAUUCCUACGUAUUACUCACCCGUCCGCCACUCGUCGCCAGGGUUGCCCCCGCGUUACCGUUCGACUUGCAUGUGUUAGGCAUGCCGCCAGCGUUCAAUCUGAGCCAGGAUCAAACUCU
rnacentral:rRNA from 1 species